CCUACGGGUGGCAGCAGUCGAGAAUCAUUCACAAUGGGGGAAACCCUGAUGGUGCGACGCCGCGUGGGGAAUGAAGGUUUUCGGAUUUUAAACCCCUGUCCUCUGGGAGCAAAUUAAAAAGAUAGUACCACAAGAGGAAGCGACCGCCAACCAUGUGCCACGAGCCGCGGUAAUACAGAGGUCACCAACGUUGUUCGGAAGCACUGUGCGUAAAGCUUGCGUAGGCGGUUUCGUAAGUCGUGUGUGAAAGGCGCGGGCUCAACCCGCGGACGGCACGUGAUACCGCAAGACUAGAGUAAUGGAGGGGGAACCGGAAUUCUCGGUGUAGCAGUGAAAUGCGUAGAUAUCGAGAGGAACACUCGUGGCGAAGGCGGGUUCCUGGACAUUAACUGACACUGAGGCACGAAGGCCAGGGGAGCGAAAGGGAUUAGAUACCCCAGUAGUC
rnacentral:rRNA from 1 species